GCUGGGAUUAAAGCUGUGCGCCACCACCGCUGAGCUACUUUUCUUUCUCUUAAGACAGGGUCUCAUUUUAGUCUCGGUUGCCUGGAAGUUCCUCAGACACACUCCAUUCUCCCUGUGCUGAGACCUCCUUGGCGGGAAUGAUCUCCUCCCUGCCUUUCCCAGACCUUUCCAUCCUCAAGGCAUGGGUGAGGCUCCCCGUACCCCAAGCUUUUCCCACCUCAGAGGCCUCCUGCUCUGCACACAUUGUGUACCCUGACUUCAUGACAGGGUGUACGCUGUGAUUUUUCUUUUUGAAAUUAUAUCUUGCUUCUCAAUUACACUGUCACCUUUUAAGGACAGCAACCAUGUGCUAUUCAGAAAAACCAUACUGCCCAGUGUGCAUAAAGAUGCUCAGUAAACAUUUAUUCAGAGAAGAAAGGGGGAAGGAAAGAAGAGAGAGAAUGGGCACUAAAUGAAUCUAUCUUUUCUGUGAUUCCCUGGUCACUGACGUCUGAGAGUUGUGUUAGAGUCUUGGUUUUUAGAUGAUUGUGGCUCCCAUGGGCUCUGACUUUUAGAUACUUGGUGUUGUGCUGAAGUUUCCUUUGAGACUGAAAUAUUAAGGAAGCUCCAUAAACCAGAAAGUAAACAACUCAAAACAACUUCAGGAAGUCCCUAAAACUGACCAGAUUCACAUUCAUUAGGCCCCUCCCUUCCAGAGUAAGUGAUAAAGACUCCUAAGGGUCACUCUCAGAGAAGCCAAGCUGCAAAGAAGACUCUCAGAUUAGACCCACUGCCUGAGAGAAGCAGAAACCAGCUGAGCUUCCCGGAAGAACUUUAGAUCAACUGAGGCACCUGGAAAGGACACUCUCCAACCUGUUGAACUGCCUGCAGGCUGUGCAGUGUGCUCCAGGCUCCCAGCUUUUGUGAGCUGCUAUCUGUUCUGAGGCGGUCUUUGGUCAUGCAGCUGUCUUUGAGUCAUUUCUGUUCCUCAAUCGAACAGCAACUAAGACGUAACCUGAGCACACCUCAUGGCUCACCAACUGGGGCUUUGAUGGUAUCCACACUCCGGUUUGUCGUGGGCUCCCUUUCUGGGGACAUGCUGACAAUAUCAACAAAUAACCAGACAUCGAAUGUUGUACAACGAUAACAAGAUGUGCUUGGAAGUCCCCUGUGAAGGCCAGAGCUUGGUGGGAAAGAGGGCAGCAAGGUGGGGCCUCACAGCUGACCACCAUGAUGGACAGGAAUUGAGUGCUGGGGGCUUUGAGGGAGAAAGAAAGCAUAACUGUGGAAGACUGCAAACUAGCCCUUCUGGAAUUUGGGUUAGACUGACAAGAUUAAGAAAGCUUCAAAUAAGGCCAAGGCCAAAAGGAGCAAAAUAUGGGAAAGAAGAGGCCUCUCUGUGUCUGUUCAGUGCUGGAUUGGAAUCGUCGUCGUCUGCUAAGGUUCCACACAUCCCUGGAGACCUUGAGCUCUGAAACGCUGGAGCUAUGAUUGGGUCGUGUUUAUGUGCUUCCUUAGCCUAAGCACCUUGUAGGGCUGUGCAAAUGUUUCCUAGCCAAAUGAGAGUUCCUGUCAUUUCCUCGGCAGUGUUCGGAGAGUUGAGGACUUGGGAAGUCAUCCAUUGGUAACUCAAGAGCACUUUUCCGUUUUAAAAUAUUUUGUACUUUUGUUUAUUUUAUGUGUAUGAGUGUUUUGCCUACAU